AGAGUUUGAUCCUGGCUCAGGACGAACGCUUGCGGCGUGCCUAAGAAAUGCAAGUCGAACGGGUGGCAGAGCAAUCUGCUGCUAGUGGCGAACGGUCGCGUAACACGUAAGCAACCUGCCCAGAAGUGGGGGACAACGGUCCGAAAGGAUCGCUAAUACCGCAUGUGGUCAGUGGGAGGCAUCUCCUGCUGUCUAAAGCCUUGUGCGCUUCUGGAUGGGCUUGCGGCCUAUCAGCUCGUUGGUGGGGUAACGGCCUACCAAGGCUUCGACGGGUAGCUGGUCUGAGAGGAUGUCCAGCCGGAUUGGGACUGAGAUACGGCCCAGACUCCUACGGGGGGCAGCAAUUAGGAAUCUUGCGCAAUGGGGGCAACCCUGACGCAGCGACGCCGCGUGCGGGAUGAAGGCAUUCGUGUCGUAAACCGCUUUUGACGGGGAAGAAGAAUGUGACGGUACCCGUCGAAUAAGCCCCGGCUAACUACGUGCCAGCAGCCGCGGUAAUACGUAGGGGGCGAGCGUUGUCCGAAGUUACUGGGCGUAAAGCGCGCGUAGGCGGCUCCUUAAGUCUGGGGUGAAAGGUUCAACGCUCAACGUGAACAGUGCCUUGGAUACUGGGGAGCUUGAGUUCGGGAGGGGGCAGUGGAAUUCCAGGUGUAGCGGUGAAAUGCGUAGAUAUCUGGAGGAACACCGAUGGCGAAGGCAGCUGCCUGGCCUAGAACUGACGCUGAGGUGCGAAAGCGUGGGGAGCGAACGGGAUUAGAUACCCCGGUAGUCCACGCCGUAAACGAUGAGUGCCAGGUGUCGGGGGUAUCGACCCCCCCGGUGCCGUCGCUAACGCCUUAAGCACUCCGCCUGGGGAGUACGGCCGCAAGGUUGAAACUCAAAGGAAUUGACGGGGGCCCGCACAAGCGGUGGAGCAUGUGGAUUAAUACGUCACUAACCGAAGAACCUUACCCAGGCUUGACAUCGAGGGCAAGGCCCUGAAAGGGGUCCCCCGGGGCAACCCGGCCCAAAGACAGGUGUUGCAUGGCUGUCGUCAGCUCGUGUCGUGAGAUGUUGGGUUAAGUCCCGCAACGAGCGCAACCCUCACCUGAUGUUGGCAGCGUAAAGUCGGCCACUCUUCAGGAACUGCCCGUGCAAGCGGGAGGAAGGUGGGGACGACGUCAAGUCGGCAUGGCCCUUACGCCUGGGGCUUCACACAUGCUACAAUGGGUGGCACAGAGGGCAGCGAUCCCGCGAGGGGGAGCGAAUCCCAAAAAUCCAUCCUCAGUUCGGAUCGCAGGCUGCAACUCGCCUGCGUGAAGCUGGAAUCGCUAGUAACCGCAGGUCAGCUAUACUGCGGUGAAUACGUUCCCGGGCCUUGUACACACCGCCCGUCAAGUCACCUGAAUUGUCUGCACCCGACGCCGGUGGCCCAACUAGCUUGCUAGGGGGAGCCGUCUAAGGUGUGGGGAGUAAGGGGGACUAAGUCGUAACAAGGU
rnacentral:rRNA from 1 species